CUACGGGACGCAGCAGUGAGGAAUAUUGCACAAUGGGGGGAACCCUGAUGCAGCAACGCCGCGUGGAGGAUGACGCAUUUCGGUGUGUAAACUCCUUUUAUAUGUCAAGAAAAUGACGGUAGCAUAUGAAUAAGCACCGGCUAACUCCGUGCCAGCAGCCGCGGUAAUACGGAGGGUGCAAGCGUUACUCGGAAUCACUGGGCGUAAAGGACGCGUAGGCGGGAUAUCAAGUCAGGUGUGAAAUCCUACAGCUUAACUGUAGAACUGCACUUGAAACUUCUAAUCUAGAGUAUGGGAGGGGGAGAUGGAAUUAGUGGUGUAGGGGUAAAAUCCGUAGAUAUCACUAGGAAUACCUAAAGCGAAGGCGAUCUCCUGGAACAUUACUGACGCUAAGGCGUGAAAGCGUGGGGAGCAAACAGGAUUAGAUACCCCCGUAGUC
rnacentral:rRNA from 1 species